GUGAGGAAUAUUGGUCAAUGGUCUGACGACUGAACCAGCCAUGCCGCGUGAAGGAGACGGCCCUAUGGGUCUUAAACUUCUUUUGCGAGGGAGCAAUAAGGUCCACGUGUGGACUGAUGAGAGUACCUCGCGAAUAAGCAUCGGCUAACUCCGUGCCAGCAGCCGCGGUAAUACGGGGGAUGCAAGCGUUAUCCGGAUUUAUUGGGUUUAAAGGGUGCGUAGGCGGCCUGUUAAGUCAGCGGUGAAAUUCAGGGGCUCAACCUCUGCCGUGCCGUUGAUACUGGCAAGCUUGAAUGCGGAUGCCGUGGGAGGAAUGUGUGGUGUAGCGGUGAAAUGCAUAGAUAUCACACAGAACACCGAUUGCGAAGGCAUCUCACGAAUCCGCGAUUGACGCUGAGGCACGAAAGCGUGGGGAUCAA
rnacentral:rRNA from 1 species